UUCUCCCAUUGCUUGUUAUGUUAUGUUGGAUUCACAUGUUGCUUUACUGUUAUGUUGAACUCCUAAACUCUUUCUCAAAUAACUUCAUCAUCUAUAUAUGUUCAUGACAACAAAAACUAAUUAAAAUGGAGAUGAUUAUUUUAAUUUGUCGUUAUUUAUAUAAAAAAAUACACCAAUUUAUUUAUUUUUUAUGCAAUUAUUGUAAAUGAAUUGGAUAUAAGAAAAGACGGGGUUAC
rnacentral:lncRNA from 1 species